CAAAAGUGUUGGAUAUUCAGUGUUAGGGUUGAGUGUUAAAAUAUAGAGUUAUUUCAACUCGGGUUUAGUGUUCAUCAACUCCAAGAGAGUUAUUGUUCAAAAUGAGUUGGUGUUAAUACAGGGAGUCAAAUGUCAUAAUCUGCAAACAACUCUACAGUGUUGAUUUUACACUACAGCUAGUGUUACCCAUCCCCCAGAAGGCUGCAUGUUUGAAAGAGGCGGGAGAUUGUUUCACGCAGCCAGACAAACACUCUGACUCUUUUCUGUGGACUGGACAUGUUCAGACAUCAUUCCAACUGUGACUAGGAUGAUACGUGUGACAAUAUGCUGGUCAAGGUGAGAUUUGGUUCAAGUCAGAAGUAUGUUAAGGUGGCAGAAACCGAAGCAGGCUAUGAAGACUACAAUACAUUUAUUGAGAAAGUAAUAGGAAAGUUAGGUCUUCCUCUACAGACAGACUUGCACGUGACAGAUCAAUCAGGGACAGAGGUGGCUGCAGAUGUGUUUGAGGAACUCUUACAAGCAGGGGAUCUUACCGUCAAUGUGUCCACAGAAAAGUCUGGAGGUAAGACUUAGCUUUGUUCGGGAAAAAUGAGG